rnacentral:rRNA from 2 species
GGACAGAAAGACCCUAUGAAGCUUUACUGUAGCUUGGUAUUGGGUUCGGGCUUUAAUUGCGCAGGAUAGGUGGGAGACUUUGAAGUAGCCCUUGUGGGGGUUAUGGAGUCACUGGUGAGAUACCACUCUAUUAAGGCUAGAAUUCUAACUUUGACCCGUUAUCCGGGCAGAGAACAGUAUCAGGUGGGCAGUUUGACUGGGGCGGUCGCCUCCUAAAUGGUAACGGAGGCGCGCAAAGGUUCUCUCAGGCUGGUUGGAAAUCAGCCAUUGAGUGUAAAGGCAUAAGAGAGCUUGACUGCGAGACUGACAAGUCGAGCAGGUACGAAAGUAGGCCUUAGUGAUCCGACGGUUCCGCGUGGAAGGGCCGUCGCUCAACGGAUAAAAGUUACUCUAGGGAUAACAGGCUGA